GCGAGGGUAGCCAAGCCAGGUCAACGGCGACAGGUUCAGGGCCUGUUCUCGCAGGAGUUCUUGGGUUCAAAUCCCAUCCCUCGCA
rnacentral:tRNA from 1 species